CGACAGGGAAGGCUCACAUAGAGGCAGCAGUAGAGAAUCUUGUGCAAUGCACGAAAGUAUGACACAGAGAGGACACGUUUAAUUGAGCCUGUCAAAUUAAGUGCCAGCCGACGCGGUUAGACUUAAGGGCUGGUCUUUAUAAGUAAAAAGGCGUAAAGGAUGUGUAGGCCAAGAAAUUAUCCAAGAAGGUAAAUGGAAUUUUUCUGGAGCGGUAGAAUGUGAAGAUAGAAAAUAGAACACCUAAGGUUAAAACUAUUUACCACAAAAUAGGCUGAAACAUGAAAGUGUGGGGAGCAAACAGGAUUAGAGACCCUGGUAGUCCACACUGUGAACUUUGAAGAUGAUGCUUAGCAGACCCGAAAGGUAAAAUCUUCCGCCUGAGUAGUACGAUCGCAAGAUUAAAAUUCAAAAACUUUGGCUGUUCACUAUUUCGAUUAGAGGAGCGUGUAGUUUAAUUCGAUGGUCCGCGUGUUACCUUACCCCAGCUUGAAUCUAUGACCGGUAUUGCAUGGCCGUCGUAAGUCCGUGUGUUAAGCUAGAAGGGACCCAAUCCGGGCGUUUGCCCGAAGGAAGUCAGGUCUUAUGAUCCGAAUGUUGGGGGAUUUUAUGCGCUACAUUUUCUUAUAUAAUGAGAGACUUGAAAGGUAAGCCUCUAAAGUAAGAGUUCGGAAGGUCGCUGUAAAACGACUGGAAGUUGGAUUUAAUAGUAAUCGGAAAGUAGGGCGUUCCGGUGAAUUGGUACAAGUGUUAGCACAAAUUGCCCGUCACCUUUACCUAGGAUGGUUAUUCGGACGCCUUCGGUGGUUACGAAUGCCUACGAAGGUAAAGCAAGUCUAACUGG
rnacentral:rRNA from 1 species